rnacentral:lncRNA from 1 species
GGGCUGGAAGACUGCAGACUACAUUUUCAAAUCCAUUGCCAACUGGUCUACUAUAGGAUUUCUUAAGAAAGUUCCUAGGAUGAUAUGUAAAUCUACUCUUAUUCUUUCUUUGAGCCUAGCUGUUCACACCAAGGAGUUAAAUCUUUAAGGAAGAACACUAUGUCAAGCACCUACGUUAACAACUCAUGUUCAAGAAUGAUGUAAGGAACUCUUUUACGAAAAAUGAAAAGCUCUUAGUGACAAGAACCAUGGUUACCAUGCAACACUAUCAACAACAGCACCCUGGCAAAGAAAGGAAGAAAAAGAAGAAAAGGAGAAGAAAGGAAAGAAGGAAACAAGAGAGAGAAAAAAGGAUGGGGAAGAACUUUUUUUUUACUUUGAAUAUCCUGUGCAUUUAGCCAUUAUUGGAAAAGGAAUGAAGCAGAGCAAAGGCUAAUAGAGUU